UCUUCAUGUCGUACACUCUCUCACCGGUCAGAGAGGCGAGAGAGUGUGCGAAAUGAAGAGA
rfam:Pristionchus pacificus strain PS312 contig9849, whole genome shotgun sequence.